AAUUUUGCAAAGAUUAAUGCAGUGGUGGGGAAAUUGUUCCUUGUAAAUUGUGCCUUGCAAUGUGUAUCCAACAUAUUUAUGUAAUCUUGUGUUUAUAACCUGAGAAGGUUGAUCCUGAAGUCUCUAAUUAAAUUUGAUUGGUUUGGUGGGCAGAAGAUGGAGUCAAAAAUGUUUUGUAGGGCAAAAGAAGAUGGUAGGGAUGAGGAAAAGAAAGGAAGAGCAACACCUACUUUUCCAUCUUUUGGGGCUGUAAUGGAGGUUCUUUUUCUUAUGAUUCUCUUCUUUUCUUUUAGGAUUUUGAAUUUUCCAAGAUAGAUGACUCAACAAAUCUUUUGACAUAAUAUUUAUGCAACUGAAAGGUGUAUAUGUAUUUGUCUAUCACAUAUAAGAGUAACCCUCUUAGAUUUUUUUAUAUAACUCUCCAUUUUGAUUAUGUGCCUCUUUGGGUAAUAUGCCUUACUUUUAACUAGUCUUUUACUACUUGAUUAAAUUAUUUUCUGUACAUUUUAUUUACUGGGCUCAAAGAAAAUUUCGUUUAGAAUUUUCUGCCGCAACAAGGAAUAUUCUGAGACAGAAGUUUGUUUUAUGUUUUGAUUGUUGUGUGUGGUGAUAAAAAGAGAUAGAUAUUGUGUGCUGGCAAAUAAGAUAAGAUGGAUGAAUUUGAGCCAACUGACCAACUUUAAAACAAAAAAAAAAAGUUAAUAUAAUACAAACAUACAAAACUCAUUUCUCUUCUGUUCGGUUUCAAAUCCAACCUCCAAUCAACUAUACUUCAUUGAACUCUUAAAAUUAUCUUAAGAAAAGUGAAAAGAAAACAGAGAAAAAAAGAAAAAAAUUAUUUUAUUUAAUUAUCAGAUAUAUUAAUCGUCAUGUGAUAAAUUUUUAUUUUUUUAUUAAUAUCGCAUGAAAUUUUAUUUUAAUUGGUAAAAAAUUUUUUGUUAAAUUUUUAACCAAAUAAGAAUUUAAUUGAAUAUAAAUAAAUAUUAAAAGAAUUAAUUAAUAUUAAUAAAAAAUAUAAACUUAAAUAAUUUUUUAAUUAUAAUCAGGAUUUUCUUUAAUGAUCUUUAGCCCCUUUUUGUUUUGUUUUUUUUUUUCUCAAGCGACAAAAGGAAUCAUUUAAUGGAAAGAGUAGCUUAAAGCGCCAAAUGAACUAAUUGAAUUUAGAUAAGAUUACUUUAGGCCGAAUAAUUUUGGAUUGAAAGAAAUUUGAGCUGUUUUAGAUUUAAAUUAUUUUGAAAAUCAUUUUAAUUCAAUAAUUGGGUCAAUGAAUGAGAGCAAUUUUCAACCUCCUUUCUAAGGUCAACCACAUCUUUGAGUAUUAGAUUUAGGGAAAAUAAUUAAAAAAAAAAGAAAUAAAACUUUAUGAUUAUGUAUGCAUUAAAAAAAGAAAUAAACUUUAUGAUUACAACAAUUUAUACAUUAAACAAAAAAAAAUGCAUCAUAUUUUAUGAAAUUAGUUGUGCGGAUGGGUUGAUUAUGAUUAUGCAUGCAAUAAACUUUUGUUCUUGGAGGGGAGGGUACUUGAGGUAGGGGGCCCGGGCCAAGUUAUCAUUUAAAUAUUUGGAAAUCAUAUUUCCCUUUGUUAAGAAAAAUUAAUACUGAAAAUCAUGAGAUACUUAGAUGCAAAGAGGUUGAAUUGUGAAACAUAUCACAUCUUGAACAGUGGCUGACCACAAAACAAUGUGCACGCUCACAAAACUAAAUUUCUAAUUCGAGAGUACGAUUGCAAUGAGAAAAGUUAUAGUACGCUCACAGAGCUCAUCGAAAGGAUGAAACCGAUUUGAUUUUAAGUUAUCCAAGCCUUAAAACAUAUUUAUAGUUUAUGAAAUAAUUUAAUAUUGAAAAAUUUUCUUAAAUUACUUCAAUAUGUUGGUAAUAAUUUAAUAACAUUUUCUCACCUCAAGAAUAUUUAAGGACACUAUUUGUUAUGCUUAGAAGAGGCUUCAUCAUCGGAUUCACUUAAUUUUUUUUGUAAAAAAAUUUUUCAUUUGGGAUAAUGAGAUUUAGAAUCUUGGUAUCGAAAAUUUUUAUCUACAUUCUCCAAUAUGUUAGUAAAAUUUAGAGAAAGAUUUUUUCACCUAAGAAUUUGUAUAGAGAUUGCUAUUUGUAAUGCUCUUAAUAAUUUUAUUAUCAGAGAUUCAAAAUUUAAUUUUUAUAAAAAUAAUUUAUUUUUAAAAAUAUAUUUUAAUAUGUUGGUAAAAUUUUCUGUUAAAGAAUAUCCUACAUUAUGUUGGUAGGAUUUUAUGAAAAUUAUUAAAAAAAAACUUAAUAAUCAUAAGAUUUCCAAUAUGUUGGUAAAACUUUAUAAAACCACGAGUCCUCCAAUAUAUUAAUAAAGCUUUUUUUUUAAAUCAUUUUAUUAUUUUUUGAAACUUAAACCUUUUAAUAUGUUGAUAAUGAUUUUUUUUAUUUUAAAAUAUUUUUAUAUAAAAAUAUUUAUAAAUGAAUAACAAAUAUAAAUAAUUAAAUAACAAACAAAAUAAUAAAAUAAAAUUAAUUCUCAAAAUUCAGCUUGGUUGGUGGCUUGGAAUCGUGGCUCAACUUAGGCACAAAGCUGGCUGGAAUGGCUUGGUUAAGACAGCUUGGCUUGGCUUGAGAGGAGCUGUUGGAACCAGUUGCAAUUGGGUACGCAACAAAUCGGAUCUGGGUAUGGGUAUGGGAAACACGUGGAUCCUAAUGAACUCUGGAUCCAAAACGAUGCCAUUUAACACCAAUAUAGAAGGCAAAACUUUUGUUUUUUGUUUCAGAUUUCCUUACACUCUCUCUAGCCCUUUUUCUCUUUGCUUCUCUCUAUAGAAAAACAUAAACACUGGUGGCCAAAAACUGGGAACUAGUCGGAUUCUGUAAAACUCAUCGGAAUCUCACUAGAAACUUCAAUUUUAGUCAAAAAAAUUCAAUUAAAAAAAUUAAAAAAUUCAUCUAAUUUUCAAAAUUUUUUUAAAAAUUCCAAAAAAAAUGCAAAAAAAUAAAAAUAAAAAUAAAAUCACCUUCCUUGCCUCCCAGAAACUGCCUUGACUGAAUUACUCACCAUUUCCUAAAUUUCCUAAAAAUUUCAAAACCUUAUUGUCAGAAAAAAAACUCUCUUGAAACUGUGUAAUUUUUUUGUAUCCUUUUUACCUAUUUUCCCUAUUCAUUUGCUGAGUGUGGAAUGGGGUUUAUAUAGGGAUCCAAUUCCCUUCAAAUUUGGAAGAAUUACUUUGACCGAAUCCUUGAAUAUGUAAUGAUUUGAUCUUAUGCAAUUUGAUUUGAUUUAUGACUUUCUUUUUUCAUUAAGAUCUCCAAAAUCAUUUAAUCUGCAAUUGAUUUCCCCUUAUAAAAUCCCAUGAUUUAAUUUCCAUAUUGGAUUUAUGAAAUUAAUGCCAAGACCCUUCCAUGAUUUCCCCAGAUUUCAACAUGGUUUUUUUUCUUAUUUUUUUUAAAUAAAAUAAUAUAAAAAUUAUAUACUUGGACUCAAAGCCCAGUCAAUAAUUGAACAGUUCAAAGAUUGAUCAAUUCAAUACCUAAUAGGCAAACUGAAAGAUCAUACCUUAAACCAUAAGAAACCUUUCAUUCAUCAUGAAAAAUCAUGACUUUUGUACAAGAUCAUUCAAAUGCCUUGUAUGGUCAUUCAAAUAUCAUUUUUUUUUUUUUUUUUGUUUCCAUAAUGCAAACACAAAGUUAGAUGCCUUGAAUACGGCAUUCAAAUGCCCUGACCAGACUUUUUAAACAGAAAGGUAGAAUUCAGAUGCUCUUAAUGGAGAAUUUGGAUGCCCUUGCUAGAACUUAAAAAUCUAUCUCUACCUAGCUUUAAAGUACAUUCCAAGUUUAAUCUUAGAUUUCUUAUUUCCUUAAUUAACAUAAUUAAUAAUCUUUAAUAUUUUGAAAAUCAUUUCUAACAUUAAUAAUAUUUUGUUUAUGAUUAUUCUUACUUUUAAUUAAAUUUAGACAUUGUCAUAACUUUUUUUUUAAUGUCAUAACUUUUUUUUUAAUAUUAUAACACUUCUUACCAAUUUUAUGCAAAUACAAAUUUUACGUCAUCUCUCACCUAUUUACGUUACUAUAAUUUUUUGUUACUUAUUACCUAUUUUUCUUAUAUCUUGUAAAAAUAAUAAUUAUUUAAAAUUUUACGUUUCUAACUUAAUUAUUUAUGUUAUAAUAAUAUGUUUUCAUAAUUAUUCUUACAUUUAUUACAUUUAGAAUUAUAAUAGCUAUGUUACGACACUUCUUAUCUAUUUUAUACCAAAUAAUUUGAAUUUUAUGUUUUCUCACAUUUGCUUACUUUACCUAUAUUUUUAUUAUUUAUUAUAUUUUUUUAUAUAUUUACAUGAAUAAUAAUUAAUUAAAAUUUUAUGUUGACAACUUUAUUAUUCACAUUACAAUAAGUUCUUAUGUUGUUAUUAUAUUCUAUUACAUUUAGAAUUAUUAUAACUCUUUUAUAGAUGUUAGAACACUUCUAACCCAUUUUAUGCCAAAUAUUAUGAAUUUUACAAUUCCUCUCACUUGCUUAUGUUAAUAAAUUAUUUAUUAAUUUUUUAUUCUAAAAUAUCAUUUCUCUUUUUUUUUUUAUCUUGCAAAUAUUUUUUAGCCAUUUUUCUUAUAUAUUUUCAAGAAAAAUAAUUAAUUUAAAAUUUAUAUUACUAACUUAAUUAUUUAUGUUAAAACAAUAUCUUUUGAUGCUUAUUCUUAUAUUCAAUUAUAUUUAAAUUUUUUAUAACUUGUUUUUUAGUGUAUGUUGCAACACUUUUAACUAAUUUUACAUCAAUUAUAAAUUUUAUUAUUCCCUUCAUAUGUUUAUGUUAAUAAUUUUUAAAAUAUUUAUUUUUAAAAAAAUUCUUUUAUAUUGUUUUUCUUAAAAGUAUAUUUUAUGUUAAUAUUUUAUUAAUUUGUGUAUAAUUAUUUUUUAUUUUAUAAUGCUCUUUAGCUAUUUUAAAACACACCAAUUACUUUAAAUUUAUUAAAAAGAAUAUUUUAAUUAUUAUUUUUUUAUUUUUAAUUAAUUGCAUAAACAAUUAAUAAAGUGGAAAAUAAAAACUAUCACCUAAAUUGAAAAUCCUUUAAAUUUUGCAUAGAACAUUAAAAUUUUGCAAAAAAUAUUUUAAAUUUUGUUUAGCAAUCUCAUUACUUGAUACAAAGAUUUUACCUUUCUUCACUUUGAAAUUUGGUCAAUGGUUGAUAUUUAACUAUAUAAAAUUAAUGAUAUUAUUUGUUAAUCUUAUUAUAAAAUUAUAAAAUGUAAACUUACCAUAUAAGUUCCUGUUAUAAAUAUAAAACACAAGUUCACACUUAUAGUUUAGAUUUGUGUUAUUCAUUUUUAAAGCUGUCAGAACUGAUUCGAAUUUAAAAAAUUCAUUCAAUUUGUUUAAACUCAAACAUAACUUAAUUCAACUGGAUUUGACUAAAAAAAGUGAUCAACCCGAAUUUGUGCAACACAAACACGAAAUUAAUUUUAAUUCAAAAUCAUUUAAAUUCAAAACAAUUCAAAAAAAAAAAACCUAUAAUUGAAUUAAUUCAAACUCGAAUAAUUCAAAUGAUUGAUAUAAAAUGAUUUGAACUUAAAUUAAGUAUGAUUUAUUUUAAAAAAAAUUAGUUUAAUAAAAAUAGUAAAAUAAAUAAAACAAAAUUAAAAAUCAAAUAAUAUUUAACUUUAAAAUUAUUUUAUAUAUAAUUUUUAAAGCAUUUAGUCUUUAGAGAUUUUUUUAAUUAAAAGUAUCCUCUUAGUUACGAGUGAAAAGCUUGAAAAAUAAAAUAUUAUAACUAAAUUCAAUUUCUAUGAUAAUACCCCAUAAAUAAAAAAGUUUUUUUAAAAUUUUUUUACAAUUAUACGUCAUAGAUAAUUUUUUUAUGAUAUCAAAAUGAAAAUUAAAAAUAUAUUACAAGUUGAUAAAAUGUAACAUUAAAAAACUUUAUUACAAUUACAUAAAAUAUUAUUGAUUUUAUUGUAACAUUAAAAUCUUUCAAUUAGAUAAAAUGUAACAUUAAAAUCUUAUUGAUUUUAUCCAAACAAUUCUUUCAAAAUUCAAUUUGAUUUAUUUUUAAAAAUUAGUAACUUAAAUUCAAAGCAAUUGGAAUUAAAAAAUUUAAAUUUUAAAAUGAAUCAAAUUUAAAAUAAUUCAAAUUCAAAAUAAUUCAGAUUUAAAAUAACAUAAAUAGAAAAACAUCUUAAUUUUUUUUACCUAAAAUAAUCGUAUCCGAAAUAAUCCAAUUUAAUUGAGAUCCGCUUGUCUGCCACCUUUGUCCGUCUCUUCAUUUAUUUAUUUAUUUAUUCAUGAUUUGGCUUUUAUUUGAGUAUUGCAUAUUCGAAUCAAAAGGGCCCCGCUCCACCGUUAUAGGGGUAGGUACCUCAGCCAGAUUUCGGUGGUAGGUGCCACUGCCCUCACUUCAUCUCACAGGGUUUUGGGAUAGACUGCAAUAUGCACGUGAGUUUGUGUGGAGGUCCCGUCAGGUUACUAUUAAAAAAAUAUUUAUUUUUAUUUAUUUUGAGCUCAAAAGUAUAAUUAAAAAUAUAAAUGAUACAUUAAUACUCAUAAAUUAUUAAGAUUCGAUUCAAAUAAAGCUCAAAUUUGAUUCAAUUAUUAUUGAAUUGAGUUCGAACUCGAGUAAUUUAAUUUAUCGAUUGAAUCGAGUUCGAAUAUUCUUAUACCUGAUUCAAGUAUUUGAUAAGUCUAAUCAAAUUUUUAUAUUUAAAUAUAUUUUUAUUAUUUUAAUUAAUAAAAUAUCUCAAAUUUUAAUUUUAGUUUGAGCACAAAUAAUCGAAUUUUUAUCGAAUAUAUGAAUCGAAUUAAUUUUUAUAUAUUAAUUGAACUUAAUGAAACGAAUUUAAAUAGUUCAAUUUCGAUCACGAAUCAAACUCGAAUUAAAAAAAUAAAAUUCGAUCAAAUUCAAAUUAAAAAUUAAAUUAUGAGUUAAAAAUCAAAUUUAAACUUAAUUUUUUUAUUAUAUUAACUCGAUUUAAUUCUAUUAAACCUAGACAUAAUAAUAGAAAAUAGAAAGAGAAACGUGGUCCCUAUGCGAAUGCGACAAGCUAGUUUAGUCUUAUUCAAUAAGUUAGGAAUGAUUUUGUCUUUGAACAGUUGUACAAUGUUAUUUUCGUAAUUUUCAAAGUAUUUUUGAAGUAAUUUAAUAAAAUUUGUUAACAUAUUAUUUAUAAAACCAUUUAUACACUAAAAUUGAAACUACGAUCAGUAAAAAAUUUUAUAUUGUAUUGAAUGAAAAUUUUUUUCCAAUAUAACCUUGUCAGCAAAAAAAAUUUAUCAAUGAAUUAUUAAUUUAACAAUAUUAAUAAUAAUUUCAGAAUUAAAAUUUUUUGAAUUUAAAUGAUAAAAAUUUUAUCUUAAAAUGAUUGUUAGGCUAACAAUUUGAUAGCAUUAGGGAAUAGGGUAAAGUAAGCUUCUUCAAAUGUAUAAUUUGGAUGGAUUUGGAAUGCCAAAAUUUUAUUUUCUUAAACUUUUUUAGAGAUUUCAUUAAAAUAGGAUUAAUCAUGCUUUUCACUUCCAGCUUUCAUAUUCUUUUCUUUUGAAUAGUUAACCUUUUUUCUUUCAAGAAUUUUCUCAGCCACUUUCUUUCCCAACUUUCUUGGAAUUUCUUCAGAAAAAAAAAAAAAAACAGUGCAAACAAAUUGAAUCAAAGUCCUUAAAAAUGGAAUACCUAAUACUGUACUUAUCUCAAACUUGUUAGUUAACACUACUACUUGCCAAUUACUAUCUGUUCUUCAAGCCUGUCCCUUUAAUUAUAAUUUGGGGAUUUACAAUUGUGAAAAGCACUCAACCAAAUAUUUAUUUUUACUUAAUUGAGUUUUUAUUGGAUGAAAUUUGAUUAACGGUCAAUAUUUAUUUUCAUCUAAUUGAAAGUUUAAUUAGAUUAAAAUAAAUGUUUUAAAAUUUCAAUUUAAUAAAAAUAAAUGUUUGAGAGUUCAAUUAAUUACAAUAAAAUGAUUGUAAUAAAAUGAUAUUGCUUGAAUGUUUAUUUAAUUUUAGUUCAAGAGUUUUUUGUUUAAUUUAUGAAUCAACAUCAAAACAAAAACCAAAAUUCCAAUACAUAAAUAAUUUAAAAUACCAUGGUCAUUUAACUCUUAUAUAUAUUAGUUUAAAAUUUUCCAUCUCAAUAUCUUAAAAGACUAAAAUAAUAAAAAAAAUUCAUAAACUUUAUCAUUUUAUUUAAAUAAAUCUUUAUAUUUUUAUUACAUUCAAAUAAGUAUUUAACAUUUACUUUGUAUCUAAAUAAAUUUUUAAUUUGUAUAAAAAAAGUCUUUAACAUAAAUCAAAAUUAUUUGAAAUAAGAGUUGAUUUAUAUAUAAAUUAAAAAAUAAUAAUUUAUUUAAGUAUAAUAAAAAUAUACGAACUUAUCUAAAUAAAAUAAUAGAAUUCGAAAGUGUUUUAUAUAUAUAUAUAUAUAUAUAUUAGCCUUCCUAAAACUUAAACCUGCAUGGUUUGUGUUUAGGAUAUAUAUUAAUAUAACCCUAAACUGCGAAUAAUGUUUUAUUUUUAUUUUCUUUGCCUUCAAUGUAUGUAAGAAGUUUUUUUUUUUUUUUUUUUUUUUAACAUCCUAACAAAGACCAAGAGGGGAAAUGUGAUUCCAACCUUAAAUUUUUAAUUUUAUUUAUUUAUUUAUUUGUGAGAUACGAAGAGAAAAGGGGAUUAGAACUUUGAACCUCUGUACUCUUCAAGAGAAUAACAAGUAACAACCAUUAAGAGGGGUAAGGUUUUUUUUUUUUUUUUAAUUUUUUAUAAAAAAAGUUGUAGGUUCGAAAAUAAAUAAAAUAAUUGAAAGUAUUAAAAACUAAAAUUAAAAUUUAAUAAAUAUUAUUUUUUUUAAAAAUAAUUAUAUGAAUCAAUUAAAUUAAAUUAAGUUUUAAUUUCUAAGCAAUCAUAAUUGAUUUAACAAAUAUCAAGCAAAAUUAGUAAAAAAAAAAAAAAACAAAAACUCAGAUAUCAAGCAAAAUGCAAGUUGUUUAAGAUCAUUUUUCAUUUUAAUAACUAUCAAUUAACAUGAUUAAACUGGCCAAAUUUUUUUAUCAAUUCAAGAUUUUGCAAUCCAAAAAGUCAAUAUUAUUUGGGAAAAGUGAAUUAUAAAAAAAAAAAGCAAACCAAUAUUUUAUGUAGAUAAACCUUUUCUCCUUAUAUAUUUUAAAGCAUUACACACUCCCAAGCCUUUUUUUAAUACAUGAAAUUUUAUUUAUUCUAAUUCAAAUAAUUGUCGUUAUUCUAAGAAAUGAUUCUCCACGAAUGCCAAUAUAUAAAAUAUAUAUUAAUAAUUUAAGGAUAAUUUAGAAAUUGUGAUUUUUGAUAUAUUCUCAGUCUCCAACUUUUAAAAACACCAGAAACUUGGUCUAACAAAUAAUGUUUCUCCUCUUAGGUAUUGGUGAAAGUGAAUUAAUCAUGUUGCUUCAAAAAUAUUUUACGAUGCCAACAAAUUAAUGCCAGUUCUGUAUGGACAGGUUGUUCAAAUCAUGAUUAUCAAAAGCCAAAUACAUUAAAUAAUUAUUUGUUUUUUAUUCUUUAGGCCAGAUUGGCAUAAAUUAUGAAUGCUUAAUGACAACACUGUAUCAUAAUUAGCAUCAAUUAAUUCACAAGUAUAUUAAAAAAAUAAAAGUAUUUUAGACUUUAUUUUUAGGCUAAAAAAAUAAUAAUAAAAAAAAAAACCUUUAAACUUUUAAUUUGCAUUCAAAUAAAUUUUUAAUUUUAAUUUGUAUUCAAAUAAAAUUUUAAUCUUUAAUUUAUACUUAAAUAAAUAUUUAAUCUAAAUAAAAUUUUAUUUAAAUAUAAAUCAAAAGAUAAAAUUUAUUUAAGUAUAAAAAAAUAUAAAAAUUUAUUUUAAAAAUAAAAUAAUUAAUGUCUUUAAUAUCUUAACCCUAUUUCUAUAAUUCCCUUCAUUCUCUUUAGGUGUAAGGGAGAAUUUUUGGUUAAUGGAGGUUUAGGUCAUUGCUCCUAAUUCAAUAUUUUAUUCAGCCUCUUUCAACACAAAAUAUAAUUUCAUUUUUCCAUAAACAAGACAAUUGUGAAUUGUCUUUUAGUUGGCCAUAACCUCCUUAUUAGUUAAUCAACUCCCAGAUUAACGUUAGUUUAUUACCUUGUAAGGCUAAAGACCAGAGUUCAGAGUCAAGCACACACAAACUCCAAUGUUUUCAAUGUUGUCUGUCUGUUAUUUUAUUACUUAAAAUUCAGUUAAAAGUUGAAAUUUAUUGUAUAAAUGACAAUAUUGAUGACAUCAUGCUAUUUUUUCUUACAACAUUUUGAGUAUUAUUAAAAGCUUAAAGUGGAAGCCAGAUGCCUACCAUAUCCCCACUAAUGCAAAUUGAAUAAUGAUUUUCUAGAACUUGGAAGCAAUAAUCAGGAAAAUCUUUCAUACGCAUAUAAUGCAAUAAUGACUGGAGAUAGAACGCAAAGCUGGGAGUUUAAGGGAAGGCAGAUAGUUUUUCUUGGAUUGCCAAAGAAUAACGAGAUUCCAAAUUUCCCACCUCAAACAGUACUUAAUAAUGGCAGAAGAACAGCCCGAAACAAUGAUUUCCCCAGCAUUACACAGGACAGGAUAGAUAACCUGUAGCUUCUCUUGUCUGUGUUCUGUCCGUGUUCCUAUUUUUUUCUAUACAAGUUCUAACAUGGAAGUAACUUCAAUGGUAAUUUAUGAAUGAGCAUUAACUUGUAGUUCACUUACGCUACUUGCAAACAAAGAAAAAAAAAAAGGACGAUGCGGAGCAGUGUAGCCACUUCAUCGAAACAAAAACAGUCAAACUCCUAAUCUGAUCGUGUCGAAGCAGGUAACUUCUCCUCUAGCUGCUUAUCCUGCUGCUUCUUCAGAUACCUCUGAGCAGUUGCAUUGACAAUCUUGACAAAGAAGUUUAUGAGCAUAAGCCAGACAACAAUGUUCCAGAUCAAAGCAAACGAAAAAUCCCACUUCUCCUGCAGCACAAUUUUGUAGAGCAGAUUUAUAAUUGUCAGAUUUGACUAGGCUCUAUUUCCAUAGUGGGUGCUAGUCAGUUAAACUCACUCUAAAAUGGAUAGAUCUUUUGUACUGGCUUAAUGGAGUACCUUAAUAUUUGAAGGCAUGGUACGUGGGGUGGCCAGGUACUUCUCUUUGACUGCAUGGAGUUUUGCUGUGAGUGUGGGCAAGAAAGCAUCCAAUCCAGGUAUGAGGCUAAGCACCCAAAUCAAUUCAUUCUCUAUCCAGUCCAGGAGUUGAUUAUUACAGACAGAGAUAAUAAAAACCGUCUGCAGAAAAAGAAUCAAAUAGGUACUUAAAACAUGCUUGAGCAGGCUGGACUUGCAAAAUAAGAAUCAGGAAAAUCUAGCUUCAUCAAGACAAUAGGAAACAGAGAAGGUUGUCAUUCUCUGGCAGUAGUCAAUUCAACCUAAAUCAUUUGAGAGUUGAGACAUUUUGGCCAAUGCCAAUGCCAAUACCAAUACCAAAAGCAAAACAAUGAAGUAUAAACACAAAACAGCUCGAUUGAGUAGAAGCAGAAAAAAGUGAAGUCAACUGAGACUCUUUUUGCAUGUAAAACACAAAGAGAACAUCACAAACCUGUAUGUGAGUUUUAAUAAUUGCCUUUCCAAUCAAUGUUGCGAGAAAGAACUUCCAGAAUGGAAUCCCAAACUGUCCACACAUGAUGCCAGCAAGGUCAAAUAAAGGAUUUGGGACCUGAAACAUAAUUCAGUUCAUCAGCAGGUUUACAUGGUAACAUCAAUCAACAAUGGCAUAAAUAGCGUUUAUAAACCAUGGUCAAUUUAUAUGAUCUUUAAAUGAAAAUAAUUAACAAGGCUUAGAGUUCAAAAACCAUUCAGGUUUCUCCAUUAUGCUAUCAAAAAAUAAUACCAACACUUCAUAAUUGAUAGGUGGAAAUUUUCACAUUAAAUCCUUAGGAACAAAAUUUGCAGCAUGAGAAACUUUUACCAGAAUGGAUAUCAUUUAAGUAUGAUUUUACUCUGGAGAUAAUGCAUUAGAACAUUGAUAUUUUUAGGUCAACAAGUGCGUGAGGGUGUGCAGGUUUAAGUGUGCUUUUGUUCAUGUGCAUGCAGACAAAAAACAGGGAUAUCGUAGUCAGACAAACAAUAUGCACUAAAACGAAAAUGUCUAAUGCUGCAUAAUAUUUGGCAUUGUUCAAAAAUGUAGUGCUAUGAAAUGAAAAAGAUAAAAAUUACAACUGACCGAGGCAAGCACUAAAAUGGGUGAAGAAGUUCAAAUGUUGGGAGUGGGAUAACAGCCAGUGUUUGAUCUGUUUUAGGUGAGUAGCAAUGACUCCAUUAUCCUCACUUGAGGAAGAAUUUAAUUCUUCCAGGGCAUCAAAUUUGCUACCUGAUAGACUAGCUGCAUAAAGCAGAAGAUCAAUGUAAGAUGGAUAUUUUAAUAGUAUGGAGUACAAGUAGAAAAUCUAAAUGGAUAUACAAUCUUCAGUAGACAACCAACAUUCAGACAAAGAAUAGCAACCCUAAAGUUCACAUAGAAAAUUCAAUCACCUACCAAAACAGAGUCAAAAGUGAAAGAAGGCAACUACAUUGCAAAGUCAAGCCAAUUUCAUCAAGAAACAACAUUUAAAACUUCAUGUUAUUAAUCAAAGGAAAACUUCAAACAUUAAAACUCUUCAAAUUACAAUACUCGUAGAGAGAGAACCGUAAUAAAUGCAAAGAAGAAGCAUCUUUUAUCCAGUAGCGAAGGGCUUGAACCAAGAUUUCUAGAUGGAUGGGGUAAGGUAUUAGUAAUCUAACGCAUAAUUUAAAUGUGAGAAUUUGUCCUUUAAAAAAGGAAAUAUUGAAUGAAUAGAUUGUAAAUUAUGAGAUUUUGCUACUUCUUCCUACGUUACUAAUUGUAAAGGAAAAUGGAAUUUCCACAAUAGAACUUUAAACCCAUUUUCUUAGAGGGUUACGAAAAUAAAAAGAUGGGUUUCUUAAUAUCUCCGAACAAAUGGGAUCAAGGAACUCCUUUGCAAGGACAGGUCCAUUACAAACGUUUAGAUCCUAAGUCAUUAUUAUAUCAUUUAUCAACCCCAAUGCAAACAAGAUUGGGGACUCUUCCAGAAAUGCCUUCACCAGCUAUCAUAAACAAACUCUUCUAGCAAUUCUUGUUAUUGUAAUAAAAUAUAUCACAUCUAAGAGAUGGUACUCAUACCUGCCCUUGAGAUAAAGUAAGGAGGAAGCUCUCCAAGUGCAGUCCCGAUACCCCACAAGAUAGCCUCCAUCUGCACCUGCGGCAGGAUGCUGCUAAUAGGAACCCUUGACCCAUGUGAUGAUGAAAACGAUGGGGGCCCAAACUCUCCACAGGAUUUGUCCAGCCAAGAAGGAACUGUCUUCAACUGUAUCGUAUCAUAUGGAGCACUUUUCAGGUCUAUUCGUCCACAUUGCAUGGCUUUUAUUGUAAACAAGGCAAUAUGAGGACCAAAUAAAGGACAAAAGUGUGCAGACCAGAUCCUGGAAUAGGAAAGGUGAAGUAGAAAAAUAACAAAUCAGAUCAAGGCAUAUUUCUUUUGGUGCCCCAAAACAUAGCAAAAUAAUAACAGAGCAGUAUAAACAUUUAAUCAGAUCAGAUUCCGAACACUUCCAUUGGCACAAAUAUAGGCAUAGCAGAAACCAGACAAAAUGAUUUCCUCUCUUUCAUCCCUGUAAAACGGUUAAAACACAUGUGUACACCAUACACAACAAUCUUGGAAACAAUCAUUAAAGUGCUACUGCUAAUGCUAAAAUUAUCGCAGUUAGCUUGUUUUUGGGCUAGAUUUGAUGAAAACAGAUCAUGGCGACCUAAGUCACUUAAAAAUUAAAAGAUAACAAUAAUUAGAAAGAAACCCAUCUAAAAGAUUAGACCUAAGUUUCAAUGCAGAAGAAAUUGAACAUUUCCAUAAAUACCAUUUUGGCAUCUGCUUAGUCAGCCAAUGUUAGUAAGAAGAAUUUAAAUGGCCUAUAAUUUAUACUGCUAUAUCAGCAACAGAAAAUCGCUGAUUAAUCAUGCUUUAUUUAUCAAGCAUACUCCUCCAGACAUCAUAAAAGAUCAUGAAAUCAAUGACUUACCAAGACCAAUUGAAGAUGCAACACCAAGUGCAAUCCACCAUAAUCCAAACUGAACAUACCGAGAUGCUUCCUGGACAUGCUGUUGAAAAAUGUAAUCAAACAUCAACUGUUAAUUAUUGUUUCCACUAAUCUGGUCAGAAUAAAUGAUGAAGAAUAAGAAUGAAACAGAAAUUAUUUCAACUAAAUAAUGUGCACAAACUUAUCAUAAUCACCAUAGAAAAUAAAAAGGUUCAAAUACAUAUGGUUCAUUAAAAGACAAUAAGAACUACCAGAGCCCUACCCACCAGUACCCCAACCCCCCCCCCCCCCCCAAAAAAAAAAAAAAAAACGAAAGGAAUACAGCAACCAAGGACAAGACGCCAACGAAACAAACCAAUAAUGGGCCAUUUUGCAUUUCUCAAUUGGAUAGGUAAAUGGAGCAGAUAGUGCACAACAAUCACCAAUUCUAAACAAAUAAAAAAAGCUUCUCAUCAUAUACAAAUGCUUGUUGUACAUCAACAGAAAACUAUAACAAAGACAGAUGAAAAUACUAGGAUAACCUGCAAAUUUAAUUACCUUUUCAUGAGGGCCCUCCAAUAGUCAUAAGCAAAAUUCCAAGAGCUGCUACUAGAGAGCUUAAAAGCAUAAGCCAACCACCCUUUGCCAAAAGAUAUAAUACUGAUUGCUUACAAUAUUGAAAGAUAGCCAGAAUGAAAAGCCUUAAUGUUUUGAAGGGCUGUGUUGUCAAUGUUAAAUUUUCUAAUUCUUGCCGAUGUCUCUCACGAAGAUCUGCAAAAUUUAACAAGUCUAUCAGCUGUGGGUUUAGAAGAACUCAAUGGCUCAACAUUUUCUCUUUAUACUAAGCAUCAAAAUAAAGCUCAUAUUAUUUAACAUGCCUGCAUAAAGGAAACUGUCAUAUCCACUUCUAAUUCAUUUACAGAGGAAACAAAAAUCAAUUAUAUGACAAAAACAACAAACAUUCCUGCACUAACUACUAGGUAUAGGAGUUUUAUAUAUUCUAAGAACAGAAUCUCACAUAAGCAAAUAAACUGAUUAAACAGCAACAUUGCACUUGCCAAUAUUACGAAAAAAGGCUGUCAACUUUAUAGAACAUUGAUAAUAUGGAUCUGUACCAAUUUCACAGAUGGUUUGCUCACAACUCUACACAGAUUUAAUUAAGAAAGCCAUGGCUCUUUUCUCUAUAAAAUCCAAAAUUUAAACAAGAAAAAGCAAACAAAUUGAUCUAUAUGUUUCAUGUUGAUCUUAUGAAGGGAAGAGAGAAUCAAGCCAUGGUUACUUUCAACAAGAAGGGAAGAGAAUUUUGAACCAAUCUUAUGGAGGAGAUUAAGAUAUCCCCACUCUUGUGCAGAAACUUAAUGGAUACAACAGCAUAGAUAAAAUAGAUGAUUCAACGAUUUCACCAUUGGUAGAGAAUCAACCCAGAAAGAAAUGUAUACAUGAGGGUGCAUAUUUUCCACCAUUUUUCUGGACACACCAAAAUGAGUCCUAAGUACCUACGUCACAAUCUCCAAGUACUUGCUAUUAUCAAUCCAAACUUAGCUUCUAUUUUCUUCCUCCCCCUACAUUGUUGCAGGAAGAACCCAAAUCCAUAUAACACCAAAGCUCCCAAAACUACAUAUUGCACCAAAAAAAACCACCCCUCAAGAUGGAAAAUUUUCAAUUCCACAAUUUACAGAAGCACCUGCCAUAAGAUAAACCAUACUUCCCCGCUAAUCAAAGAUUGAACAUAGAGUGAAUCUUCCAACAAAUUGACACACCCUCAUAACACAGAAAAGAAAUGCUACACUAUUUCUUUUUUCUUUAUGCAUCUUUACCAGAAAUAAAAGGGCAAUCUAUAUAAUAUAUGAUGCACAAGCCCUGAACCUUAAUGUUCAAAAAGUAUUCAACACUUGCCUUCUUGCACCAUCAAACCCAAACUCCAUUUAUUUCUAGUCUUGCUUAUACAUUGAGCUCGUUUCAUUCGUUCUAAUAAUUAAUCAACCGGUUUCUAGAGGGACACGGUUAACUUAAUUAUUGAUUUUUAGAACAAUUAAAUCAUAAUUAAUCUAAUUAAUAAACUAGAAAAUUUCAUUAACAACAAGAGAUCUAGGAAAAACCCAACUUGAUUCGAGUUCGUAAAUAAAAUUAAAUGGGCAAAAAAAAAAAAAAAACCCAAUGACACGAAAAGGAAAAAUAAUAGUAACAAAAUCAAAAUUUCAGGAGAAAAAAGAAUUACAAAAGUAAAAAACUUGCCUUCAAUCGACGUAUCCAUUUUGUUUGAGAAGAACACGUCGCGCUUUGCCUGACCCCAUCCCCACACUCACAUACUACGACUAAACAAAACCCCUUUUUUCAAUUUCUUCAAUUAAUUUGGAAUUUUCGUCAAUAUCGACCGCUUUUCUGAAAAAAAAAGCGUUGAUUUUGAACAAGGAUCUGACGACUAUAAUCUAAUAACAUGAAAAGGAAUCAAGCAUUUUUCUUUUCAAUCACGAAUAAUAAUAAUAAUAAUAAUAAUAAUAACAACAACAACAACAACAACAAAAAUUUAUUUUUGAAAUAAAAUUGCAGAUCUAGAGAAGAAGAAAUCAAGAGCGGGAGAGAGCAAUUUUGGGCUGAAGAUCUCUCCUGAGUUCUUGCUUUGAGCUUUUUUCUCUCUCUAUUCUCUCCUCCAGUCUGUGAGAAAACAACGAGAUUAGAUUUCUAGUAAGUAUAAUCUUUGUUUUUUAAUUUAAAAAAUUGGCUUUCCUUUUAGCAAAAGUUUAAAUGGAAAGUAAAAUUACUUUGUCGCUCAUUGGUGUAAUUCUUAAAAAAAAUAAAAAUAAAAUAAAAAGAGAUAAUUUAUAUAUUCUUUAAUAUUGUUAACAUAAAAUAAACUAAAAUAUUCUUUUUUUAAUAUUAAUAAUAAAUAAAAAGAAAAGAAAAAACUUGAAAAUUGUAGACUUACUUAAAAAAAAAAAACAAAUUUAAAGAGUUUUCCUUAAGUGUUUUAUAUAUUAUAUAUAUAUUAUUAUAUAUAUAUUAUAUUUUUUUGCUUAUCACAAUCUUUGCUACAACCUUCAAUUCUAAAAAAUUUUGGUUUUUUACUAAGUUUACAAUGAAAAAAAAAAAUUCAUUCAUUCUUUCGCUUUUAAAGCAUCAUUGGAAUGAAAAAAAAAAUUACAUAUCAAAAUUUGUAAUAAAUUAUAAUGAAGUUGGUUUGAGCAAAUUAAGAAAAAUUAAAAGAAAAUUUGACAUUCGGGAUGAGAAAAAAUGGGUUGGUAAAAUGUGAGAUAAGACGAAGAAGGAUAAGAAAUUGAGAAAAAAAAAAAAAGGUAGUAGGAAUGAAAUAAUCACCAUUAUUUAGAAACGUGCCCGCUAAAUGAUCAUGAAUGUAGGAGGAAGACAAUAGCGAUGGUGAGACGUGAAAAAGAAGGAAAAAAAGAGAGGUGUUCAAUACGUGAUUUUUUUUCUUUUAUAAUUUUAGUUGUCAUAAUGUUUAGAUUCGGAAUCUAUUAUUAGACAUUGACUUGAAAGAGUAGUCACAAUCUUUUUUAUUUAGGUGCGAUUGAUCACCUAAAGAAUCUAGCCUUUCAGAAAACACCUAAGUUUAAGGGUCCUAAAAGAAUAGGUUCAGGUCUACUAAUCAGAACAUGGUUCGAGAGUUCGGUUACGUGUGAGGAAGGUUAUAGCACCCUCACAACGCCCAUCAAAAGAUGGUACCAGCUUAAAUUUGUGUUAUCCAAUGAGCCUUAAAAUUUAUCAAGUGAUUAAUUAUUAAAAAUUAUUCUCAAUUGACUCUAAUACUUUUAGCAUAAAAUUAAAAAAAUUUUCUCACCUCAGGAGUAUGCAAGAAAAAUUAUUGUUUCACUUGCAGAGGCUCUAUCGUCGGAUUAUUUAACAUUAAAAAAAAUAAUAAAUAAAUAAAUAAAUAAAUAAAAAGGAAGAAAAGAAUGAUUGUUUUUGUGCAAGAAAAAUUGAUACUUUCAACUUUUUCUCAAAAUAUCUUUUGAAACUUUAAUUUCUAAGAAAAUUGAUACUUUCAACUUUUCCUUAAAAACUUUUUUUGAAAAUUUAUUUUAAGGAAAAAUUGAUACUUUCAAACUUUUUUUUCAAAAAAUAUUUUUUUUAUGGAAAGCUUAUUUUCAGAAAAUUGAUACUUUCAACUUUUCCUCAAAAUCUUUUUUUUUGAAAAUUUAUUUUUAAGGAAAAUUGAUACUUUUAACUUUCCUAAAAAAUAUUUUUUUGAAAACUUAAUUCGAAGAAAAUUGAUACUUUCAACUUUUUCUCAAAAUAUUUCUUUUUGAAAAUUUUUAUUUUUGUAAAAAAAAUAAAAAUAAUACUCCUGAAAAUAACUAACACAAAAAAACAAAUAAAUAAAUAAAUAAAAUACCAAAAAAAAAUUAUCUUGACUUGAAAAUUCGACGGGCUCUACUAGAUUGUCCAAUUAACUAAUUCUGCUGUAUAUUUGUAGCAUUUGUCAUUGUCCUAUUAUGUUUGGCUGCUGCAGCUGUUGUUGUGCCUAUGGACUCAACAGGGUUGAAGUAGGUGAGACAAAUGGAGCCUGAAAGAGUAGGGGUGAAGAUGUAUGAAAUUAGGCACUUGGUUUUGAAUGCUCAUAAGAAUAACCUGGAAGUUGGCCACUUGAGAGAUUUGUUUGAAGAACCCCAGACUAACACCGAUUCCCUAUCUCAUGUUCACAUCAUUUAUAUAAUCCAUUUCAUGCAGCUGUUUUCGUUGCUGUAUCUAAAUCCCUUAACAACUGCAGCAACUACCAUUGUUUUAAUAACAAUUACUAAUAUUACAGCUGCUAUCAAUAUGUUAACGUGGAUUCCAAAGGAAAUGCACAUGAAUCAACAUCCCAAUAAUGGCUGAAAGAGAGCAGCAAGUAAUUACGGAUUGCUCAACUUGUUCGAGUGUAUGCUGAUUCAGAUCAAAGGUUGAUAUCAUCACUCCUAGCAGCAAAUGAAGCCCAGCUCAUCACCAAGCAACAAGCAAGUAAAUGCUGCGGAUGCCAACUGAUAGAGCUUUUUAGUCAACGAUUUAGUCAUGGAUAGUACUCCUUGAAGGACACCGGAACUGCCACCUAGAACUGGAAGUAAAGUAACAGCAAACCCACAGCAUAGUCCAUAGGAUAAGAAUUUAAAUUGUCGCCUGACCAUGAAGGGCACUUAUACCAUUCCUUUCCAUCAAAAAUUUUGAAACCACUGCUAUAGAAUACGUAGAUAGGAAUGCACAAACAAAAACCCCCUCAGAAAGUUUACCUCCACAUAACUCUAAGGACAAACAACUGCUCGAACAACACGAAGCUUUGUUUGUUAAAACUCCAAGCCUGAUACGUGAAUCCUUGGUUGCAUAUUUUGGUGUAAUUGAUUGGGCUGUUGUUGCAAACCCAAUUGUUGCUGCAGCUGAAUAGAUUGUAAUUGGCAUCUGUGACAUCAGAUGCUGCCUUUCGCAUCAUCCAAUCUGUGCUCCAAAGCGUUCAUGGAUGCUUUGUAGCAAAGGAUUCCAAGCUUUGAGGUGCAAUUGCUCCACCCUGUGACAAACUCGCCACUACCGGUAAAAGGAAGCCUUAGCCAUAAAAUUUUGAUUAUUCAAUAGCUUGUAAAUCCUUGGACCAUAGCUUCUGAAAAGCAGCCAAAAGAGGAUCAGUUGCACAUUCCACCAUCCUUAGCCAUACACAAUGCUCGACGUAACAAAAUGGAGCGUAUUUUCCAACGUGUUUUCCAGAACCUGGUCCAGGUACGACGACUAAAACUUUGGGUGACCCACCAUCCAAGCAACUGUUAGCUGAAACUCUUCUUGAAGCAACUUGCCUAUUUCUGAAAAGCAUUGAAUGCGAGAAAAUCCCAAUCAUCAGACAUUCCAGAUCUUCAAAGAAGGUCUCUUUCCCCUCAAACCUGGAGUAAUUCCAUCAGAUUGGACAAAAUCUUGGUCUUUAAUAACUUUUUGGGUCAUGGAUGGAGAGGUCACCCACCAAAGAGAGGCCUUGAGGGCCUAGCGGCAACGGAGGCUUCCCCCUUUGUUUUUGCUUCCCUCUCUCCUAUUCGAAUUUUUCUUCUAUCUUUUUUUUUUAUUUUUCUAUUACUGUGAAUUGUAAUGAUAAUAAAACCAAGUGAUUGUGUUUCGGUUUAAUUCCCAUUAGUUUAUCCAAUGCUAAAGAUUUAGCAUCUAAUUAUCGCUUUCUGAUCAUCAUCAAACUUAAUCUCAAUCUUUUUUUUAAAUAAUCAGAUAAUAAAAAUAGAAAAAGAAAAAUAAACAAUAAGUAGACCAUAAAUAAAAAUAAAAAAAUGAUAAAUAUGAAAUAAAAAUCUGAAAUAAAAAUAAAUAAAAAAUGAAAAAAUUUACAAUCGAGCUUUGAUCGAUUUUAAUUGACAAAAGACUCCGGACAAAAAUGGGGUGUCUACAGCUGUCCUUCUUUGCCACAUUUUUUGUGAAACAAAAAUUGUGCAAAGACGUAGACAACCCAUUCAAGACUCAACUGGAAUUAUUUUUUUUUUGCCUAUUUUAUUUUGCUUUUUUUUUGUAAUUUUGAUCAAAGUUCCUCUAAGCAGAGGCUCCAACGACUUUGAGAAACAUAAAAAAAGCUCCUCUAAACAGAGGCUCAACUUUUUCUUUUUGUUUUCUUGCUCUCUUUUUUUUUUUUUAAAUUGAUCAAAGCUCCUCUAAACAAAGGCUCAACGACUUUGAGAAACAUAAACAAAGCUCCUUUAAACAGAGGUAAUUUUUUUUUUGUUUUUUUGUUUUUUUUUAUUUUUUUUUCAAGCUCCUCUAAACAGAGUCAACGACUUUGAAAGUAAAUUGUCCUCUAAACAGAGGCACCACGACUCUGAAAAGUAAUUGCUCCUCUAAACAGUGGUACCACGACUUUGAGAAAGUAAAUUGCUCCUCUAAACAAAGGCACCGCGACUUUGAAAAGUAAAAUUGCUCCUCUAAACAAGGCACCACGACUUUGAGAAAGUAAAUUGCUCCUCUAAACAGAGGCACCACGACUUUUGAAAGUAAAUUGCUCCUCUAAACAGAGGCACCACGACUUUGAAAAGUACCAUGACUUUGAAAAAUAAAUUGCUCCUCUAAUAGAGGCACCAUGACUUUGGAAAAUAAAUUGCUCUCUAAAACAAAGGCACCUACGACUUUGAAAAAUAAAUUGCUCCUCUAAACAGCAGAGCACUACGACUUUGAAAGAAAAUUGCUUCUGAUAAUCAUGUCCAAAGGAGUUAUAGAUGCGUGAUUGAAAAAAAUUUUAUACUGAAGAACUCAAAGAUUCACAAUUUGAGUUCAACAUUCAUAGGUUUAGAUUCGUAGAACCUUUCAACUUCGUAAGAAUUUACUAAAAAUUUGAUUAUCAAAAAUUUCAGUUUCAUUCAAAUUUGUAAGAUAUCACAGAUUUGCAUUUGCAACUUGCAAGACUCGCAUCAAAGAUCCUCAUUUAAAUUUUGGAGACUCACAUCUAAAAGUUCAAGGCUUUUCAAAGGUUCUCGUUUGCAAACUUGGAAUUCAUAUCCAAAUAUCUAAAGCUUUUCAUUUGAAUUUUGGUAAUUCACAUCAAAAAAUUCAAAGCUUUCAUUUGAGUUCAAAGGUUCACAUGCAAUAAAACUUAGAGUUUCACAUCUAAGUUCCAAGAUUCUCAUUUAAAACAUUAGAAAUUCAUAUCCAAAAGAUGAAGCUUUGUAUUUUGGAGAUUCACAUCCAAAAGUUCAAACUUUUCAUUUGUUCGAAGAUUCACAUUCGACAAACUUUAGAUUUUCACUUCUCAAAGAUUUUAUUUUGAAACUCAAAGAUUCUCAUUUGAGUUCUUAAAAAUUCUCAUCAAAAUAUUCAUAAUUUUUUUUUAAGUGACUCAACAAUUUGCAUGAAUGAAUGUUAUGACCAUAGAUACAAAUGCCUUUUAAUGAUGCAAAUGCGGUGACCUAUAUUCUCAUAGUGCCAUGCAUGUCCCAAACAAAGUUUAAUUCAUCAAAUUAUGUGUAUGUACUAUUCAAGCAAUGAUGCCACCAUGAUGCAUGUAAUGCGAAUGUUAAUAAUGUCAUGAAAUCCUAAAUAAUUAUGGUAAUAUGGCUCUCAAAACUCUAUCAUUUCGCAUGUCUUUCUUGUUCAGUUUUUCAAUACUUUGAAAUAAGUUUCAUCAAUCGAUCAUCACUUGACCACCAUUCAUAGACUUCUCAACACUAAAAAAUUUCAGAACAAGUUUCAUCCACCAUCACUAAGUCAUUACUUAUAGGUGUUUAACCAUUCCAAAACAAACUUUGUCCACUGAUUAUUUUCAUCAUUCAAUCAUAACUUGCAAGUCAUAUCGACCAAUUCCAUCCUUGUACUCAUCACUUGGUUAUACCAUUUUUCAAGAUUGCUCCAUCAUAUCUCUAUUUGGUCACAUCAUAUAUCCUUUCAAAUCAUCUCUUUUAGGUUUUUACCAUUUUUUCAUUUUGUUACCACCAUCAUCUUAGAAUUUCUUUUCAAAUGAAUGCAAGACUCUUUUAAGCACAUAUUCAUUCAUUCAUUAUCAUUUCAAAUCUUGACAAACAUAAUGCAAUCAAGCAUUUUCUCAAUUCAUUCUAGGGUGUAACAAAUAAGAGAACACAAGGUGAAUUAUGGAAAGAUAAUCAAUGAAGAACUAUUUUGGUACAAAACAAAUGGGAAGGAAAUAAAUUGGAUACAUGUCAUAAGGAUGAAUGGUAUGUCCAAACGAUGAAGAUUCAGACAAUUUUCAAACAUUAAUCUAGGAUUCUUUUUUCAAAAACUCAUUCCAUUUAUGUUAGAGUCAUUUUGAACUUGAUGAACUUUGCCCCAGUUUUGAGGGGUCUUCAGAUGUCUUUGAUCUUCCAUCCAUGUGAACCAUUUGACCUGGAUCUAUCAAAAUCACCGUUUCAGGUUUUGCAAUUUGAAUAUCUUUUUUCAUUUUCUCAUUUUUUCUUCUUUCUUUCUCAUUUUUUUCUUUUUUUUUCUAAUUUUUUUCAUCAUUUUUUUUCUCAUUUUUCAUCCAUUGUUGAUAUCUUCCAUACAUCCAACUUUAGAGCAAUGUAGCAUGGUUCCCAUUGUUUCAUCAUGAGCAUGCCUUCGCUUAAUAUAUGAUCAUUCAGUUAAGCAAUUCACACUUGAUCCAAAAUGGGCUUUUCAAGGUUGUAAUGUAGGUCAAAGUGAGGGGUCAUAAAAGAAAUAGAUAUAAUAGGCUCAAAACAUGUAUUAAAAAGGUUUCAAAACCAAGGAUUAUUUGAUGUAACUUGAUAUUUUGCCUCACAUCAUUUCACUAUUUUUUUCUUUCCUCACACAAAGGAUUCUCAUUAUUUUUACCCCCAAAUAUUAUGUGGCAUUUAUUUUCUUUUGCUUUUCUUUCUCUUUCCAUCUUUGAGACCUUUUGUGAUAUAUAUAUAUUUUUUAAAAAUUAUCUUCCAGUGUAGAGGGUGAUCUUUGGUUGGGGUUCUUUAAAAAAAAAAUAAAAUUAUAAUAGGCCUCAAAAGGGGUAACAAUAAAAUGAUUUUUCCGAAUGGUAAAAAAAAAUAUGAUCAUUUUUUAUCUCCAAUUUGUGAAUGCCUUUCUUGACAUUCAUCCUAUUGAACAAAGCUCAUAAACUUGUAUAAAGAUUAUACAGAUCUUCAAGAACAUAGUCUAUUUUACCUUCAGUACCAGCUUACUUUUUGCUCAAAUCAUCUUCUCAUAUUAAUGUGGAUGAGUUCUCAAAAUUAAAUCCCAGAAUUAUUGUUAUCAUUGUCUAAAAUAUUCAUCAUUCAAAAUUUGAAAAUGGGAAUGUUAAAGUUAUGAAAGGUACAGGCCAUGGAAUAAUGGUCGAGUGAAAGAGAGAAAUUCAAUGAAAUGCAUUAACUUACCCUUAAGUAAGAUGAUAACAAGUGAAAUCAUAUGCAGAAAGAAAUCCUAACAUUACUUUAAAAGAACUCUUAGAAUGACAAGUGGCAUUUAACCAGUUUUAACAUCCUCUUUAAAAUCAUGCCCCUAGACAACCAGGUGAAGGAUUUUUAUCUCGUCCCAUUGAUUCAUUGUGACUCUUCAUAUUCUUGAUCCUCAAACAAAAUGAUUGGGCUUUUUUUGUCGAGUUCUAAAGAUACAGGCUUGAUCAUUUAAGCGGCUGCUUCCAUUAUCAUGCUCCCUGUUGUAUUGCUUCUGGUAAAGGUAAUCUUAUCAACAUUGGGAUGAUAUGCCAAAGGAAUCGUAACUUUUAGGCCCAAUCCAGUUAGAAUAUUCAAGACAUCUGGAGGAAAACCAACCUGCCUACAUACGUUAACCAGCUCCAAACAGGCGAUAGGUACCAAUUCGAAAGGUUUCAGUAUUGUAACACAAUCUGUAACCAAAGCAAGAGCUACUUUUCAGUUGACCAUCAACAGUGGAUAAUUUCAUAGAGUAAUUAAUCUAACGACCCCAAGUGGUUCCUUAAGCACAUAACUCUUAAAUGUCUUAAUAGGAAGAGAGAUAACAACCUUUUACUUUACAUCUAAACCUUUAGCAAGGUACAUAUAGUACUAAAAACAUCCAGCAACAUCAUUAAUGUCCCAAGUUGCUUCAUCAAGUAGUUUCCCGUAAUCAAUUACUCAAGCUUUGCUAAUUCAGAUUUUCUCUCUGUUAUCUUGGAAAUGAUGGCCCGUAAAUACUUGGCACGAACAAUGCCAGAAGUUGAAGCUCAUUCCAUCUUUGAUUAACCGUUGCACCUCAUGCUUUAGAGUAGUGUAAUUUUUAAUGCAAUGGCCAGCAAUUCUAUAGUAGUAGUCAUAAUGAGCUGUAGGAUCCUACCAUUUAGGAUGAGGUGAUUUAAGUGGGUCACAUGGUUUGAGGCAAUCAGGUGGUUAUUAUAGAGCUCUCAGUAUAACUCCGUAUAAGUCAUGAGGAUUGGAUCAAAUACAAGUUUUUCUCGAAUAGUCCAUUACUCUCGUGUACCACUUUUUAAGCUAAUAGGAUGAAUUUAGGGUCUUACAGGAGUUUGACUGUUAAAGCUGUAUAUAAGAGCUUGGGGGAUAAAAAUGGACUGGUAUAUGGAUGAAUUAGGUGGUUGUGAGGGCUAGUUGGUAUGGAUAAGAUGAAGCAUUGUUCACAGUAAGAUAGUAUGAAGAGUAAUAUGAGGGUAGAUAGGGUUGAUAUCCCCUGAACUAUCUGUCAAAGCCUACAGCUUGAGCUUUAAUCUCUUUCUUCUUAGGUGUCUUCUUGGUUUCUUCUCCUUUCAGCUUGCCAUUCUCAAUGAUUUCGUCUGAGAUCACCGUGUCAGUAAAAUUUUUUGUGGCAUUCCCUAUCAUCCCUUCAUAAUAGAGGGAUUUCAAAAUACUGACAAACAAUACGGUGGUCUCUUUUUUAGUCAAAAGAGAUUACACUUGAGAAGCAAUAUCCCUCCACCAUUGGGCAUAUUCUUUGAAUGAUUCAGUUGCUUUUUUAUUCAUAUUCUGUAAAAAAAGAUGAUCAAUGACCAAGUCUAUUAUAUGCUGGUAUCGACUAAUGAAAGAAUAAGUCAUAUCGCUCUAAGAACCAAUACGAUUCAUGUCUAACUGGACAUACCACCUAGCAGUAGAGUCAGUGAGGUUGUCUUAGAAUGCAUGCAUCAAGAGCUUUUCAUUAUUGGUAUGGGCAGUCAUUUUUCGACAAUACAUAAUAAUGUGAAUUUUUGGACACUUUGUACCAUCAUAUUUCUCAAACUUUAGCACCUUGAAUUUGGAAAAAUAACCAUAUCAGGAACUAAACAGGGCCCAGCAGUAUCAACUGAGCUAUAAAAACUAACUCCUUCCACUGCUCGUAACGUUUUCUNNNNNNNNNNNNNNNNNNNNNNNNNNNNNNNNNNNNNNNNNNNNNNNNNNNNNNNNNNNNNNNNNNNNNNNNNNNNNNNNNNNNNNNNNNNNNNNNNNNNNNNNNNNNNNNNNNNNNNNNNNNNNNNNNNNNNNNNNNNNNNNNNNNNNNNNNNNNNNNNNNNNNNNNNNNNNNNNNNNNNNNNNNNNNNNNNNNNNNNNNNNNNNNNNNNNNNNNNNNNNNNNNNNNNNNNNNNNNNNNNNNNNNNNNNNNNNNNNNNNNNNNNNNNNNNNNNNNNNNNNNNNNNNNNNNNNNNNNNNNNNNNNNNNNNNNNNNNNNNNNNNNNNNNNNNNNNNNNNNNNNNNNNNNNNNNNNNNNNNNNNNNNNNNNNNNNNNNNNNNNNNNNNNNNNNNNNNNNNNNNNNNNNNNNNNNNNNNNNNNNNNNNNNNNNNNNNNNNNNNNNNNNNNNNNNNNNNNNNNNNNNNNNNNNNNNNNNNNNNNNNNNNNNNNNNNNNNNNNNNNNNNNNNNNNNNNNNNNNNNNNNNNNNNNNNNNNNNNNNNNNNNNNNNNNNNNNNNNNNNNNNNNNNNNNNNNNNNNNNNNNNNNNNNNNNNNNNNNNNNNNNNNNNNNNNNNNNNNNNNNNNNNNNNNNNNNNNNNNNNNNNNNNNNNNNNNNNNNNNNNNNNNNNNNNNNNNNNNNNNNNNNNNNNNNNNNNNNNNNNNNNNNNNNNNNNNNNNNNNNNNNNNNNNNNNNNNNNNNNNNNNNNNNNNNNNNNNNNNNNNNNNNNNNNNNNNNNNNNNNNNNNNNNNNNNNNNNNNNNNNNNNNNNNNNNNNNNNNNNNNNNNNNNNNNNNNNNNNNNNNNNNNNNNNNNNNNNNNNNNNNNNNNNNNNNNNNNNNNNNNNNNNNNNNNNNNNNNNNNNNNNNNNNNNNNNNNNNNNNNNNNNNNNNNNNNNNNNNNNNNNNNNNNNNNNNNNNNNNNNNNNNNNNNNNNNNNNNNNNNNNNNNNNNNNNNNNNNNNNNUCAAUCAGUGGCAUCAAUGCUCCUAAUUCUCAGCUGCAACUUAAGCGGAAUCAACAACAGCAACAGCAGAUGCUUCAGCUUCAGAAGCUGCACCAAUUUGGGGCUGCUCCUGCUCCCCAAAGUAAGACACCAGCAAAAAGUAAUGGAAGUGCUUAUUCUGAUCACCUUCCUUCACCAUCUAUGCCUGCCAGGUUUCCAAAUGCCCUGUCUGCAUAUCCUCAAAAUCUAGUGCAAAGCAGUGGCAGUUCAGCUCAGUCUCCUCAAUGGAAGAAUUCUAUGAGGACAGCUAUCUCUCAAGUUCCUUCUGCAUCUCUAUCUUCAACUUCAUCAUCCCUCAAGAAUAUUCCCCCGCAACAAGGUCGGCCACAGCAAAGCCACACACACAUUUCUUUUGCUGCUAAUUCUAAAUCAACACAAGGCCAACAGCCUACUGGUAGUACUCCAUCCCCUCUCAUCCUAUGAUGGUUGGCUCUCCCUCAACUUCAAUCUCCAGGAGUGCUGGUGGUAGCCCAAGGACAGCUAGUCCACUGUCUACUGGGCAAACAAAGGUGCCAAGCAUCUAGUUUAUCGACUCAGCAGGCCAAGAACUCACCUUCAGUGCCUAGUCUGAAGUCAUCUCCUGUCGGUGGAAGGAGUGUGCCAUCCAUCCUGGAAACCCUCACAUUAGUUCAUCUUCAAAUUACUGUAACCAAGCCCCAAGUGGCGCAACAGCAGCAGCAUCAGCAUCAGCAUCAAAAGCAUGCCAUUGCAUCAAACGCAGAUGUUAUUUUCUAAUGCUUUCAUGCAGGGCCAAGUUCAAAAACUCAGCAAGUGCAACAGCUGCAAGUGGGUACUGAUCUUCAAAAACACCGCAAUGAGCAACAGCACACACAGCCUCCAAGCUCAUCAACAACUUCAAUGGUUGUCGAUGUGUUCUGCGGUUACUCUUGCCAACACUGGCACCACUGACCCUGCAAAGGCCAGUAGUUGCCUGCUUGCUGCAGGCAAUAUGAAAGGAGGUGGCUUAGCGUCACAGGGACUUAUCCAUGCUGCACAAUUUGCUACUACUCAGUCCCUCUGGAAAGCCGCAUCAGUAUGUGCCAGGCUUCCCCAUUUGUUCAUGCUGUCCCUGCUGCUGUUCAGGUAAAACCAGCAGAUCAACCUGCUGGUGAGUAGAAUUAUGUUCCUUUUUGCUUCGUAUACAAACCCCAUAUAGUGAACAAGAAACAGAUUCAGCAACAAAAAGAGAUUUAGUUAGAUUGGGUACUGAAGAUUUAUGAAGGGGACACUGGUUUUCUUGCCCAGAAAUGACAUUAUGCGCUCUGACACAGCCCAACAAGACUUGACAAAAUGCAAAAGCGGAGGUGAUUGAAAGCUAUCACGUGGCAUAGAACUCACUCAACCACAAUUUUGCAAAGAUUAAUGCAGUGGUGGGGAAUUGUUCCUUGUAAAUUGUGCCUUGCAAUGUGUAUCCAACAUAUUUAUGUAAUCUUGUGUUUAUAACCUGAGAAGGUUGAUCCUGGAGUCUCUAAUUAAAUUUGAUUGGUUUGGUGGGCAGAAGAUGGAGUCAAAAAUGUUUUGUAGGGCAAAAGAAGAUGGUAGGGAUGAGGAAAAGAAAGGAAGAGCAACACCUACUUUUCCAUCUUUUGGGGCUGUAAUGGAGGUUCUUUUUCUUAUGAUUCUCUUCUUUUCUUUUAGGAUUUUGAAUUUUCCAAGAUAGAUGACUCAACAAAUCUUUUGACAUAAUAUUUAUGCAACUGAAAGGUGUAUAUGUAUUUGUCUAUCACAUAUAAGAGUAACCCUCUUAGAUUUUUUUUAUAUAACUCUCCAUUUUGAUUAUGUGCCUCUUUGGGUAAUAUGCCUUACUUUUAACUAGUCUUUUACUACUUGAUUAAAUUAUUUUCUGUACAUUUUAUUUACUGGGCUCAAAGAAAAUUUCGUUUAGAAUUUUCUGCCGCAACAAGGAAUAUUCUGAGACAGAAGUUUGUUUUAUGUUUUGAUUGUUGUGUGUGGUGAUAAAAAGAGAUAGAUAUUGUGUGC
rnacentral:lncRNA from 1 species